rnacentral:rRNA from 1 species
UGGGGAAUAUUGGACAAUGGGCGGAAGCCUGAUCCAGCAACGCCGCGUGAGGGAUGACGGCCUUCGGGUUGUAAACCUCUUUCAGCACAGACGAAGCGCCCUGUCGGGUGGUGACGGUAUGUGCAGAAGAAGCACCGGCCAACUACGUGCCAGCAGCCGCGGUAAUACGUAGGGUGCGAGCGUUGUCCGGAAUUAUUGGGCGUAAAGGGCUCGUAGGCGGUUUGUCGCGUCGGGAGUGAAAUCCAUUGGCUUAACUGGUGGCUUGCUUUCGAUACGGGCAGACUGGAGGUAUGCAGGGGAGAACGGAAUUCCUGGUGUAGCGGUGAAAUGCGCAGAUAUCAGGAGGAACACCGGUGGCGAAGGCGGUUCUCUGGGCAUGUCCUGACGCUGAGGAGCGAAAGUGUGGGGAGCGAACA